rnacentral:piRNA from 1 species
UGGUUUUAUUGCAGUUGUUUG